GACGAACGCUGGCGGCGUGCUUAACACAUGCAAGUCGAACGGAAAGGCCCUGCUUUUGUGGGGUGCUCGAGUGGCGAACGGGUGAGUAACACGUGAGUAACCUGCCCUUGACUUUGGGAUAACUUCAGGAAACUGGGGCUAAUACCGGAUAGGAGCUCCUGCUGCAUGGUGGGGGUUGGAAAGUUUCGGCGGGUGGGGAUGGACUCGCGGCUUAUCAGCUUGUUGGUGGGGUAGUGGCUUACCAAGGCUUUGACGGGUAGCCGGCAUGAGAGGGUGACCGGCCACAAUGGGACUGCGAGACGGCCCAGACUCCUACGGGAGGCAGCAGUGGGGAAUAUUGCACAAUGGGCGGAAGCCUGAGGCAGCAACGCCGCGUGCGGGAUGACGGCCUGCGGGUUGUGAACCGCUUUCGCCUGUGACGAAGCGUGAGUGACGGUAAUGGGUAAAGAAGCACCGGCUAACUACGUG
rnacentral:rRNA from 1 species